CCCCCGAGUUCCCCGUAUAGCCCCCGAUGAGCUCGCGGUAUUUUCCUUAUAUGAUCAGGCCUCAUUGCUGGCGACGCCGCUAGUCCGGAGCCUGAGAAGAUUAUGAAAACGUGUGGCGAGGCGGGGCUGGGGACCGGGG
rnacentral:snoRNA from 1 species